UUGAACGAUAAUGAUCAGGGCUUAAAGUUCUCCGGCCGGGGGCCGGAUUUCCGGCUUGUGGACAGGUCCGUACUUUGGUUCAGGCAAAACUUGCAAAUUACACUCGGAGGCACUUUCGGCACGGAAAAAAACGAGCGCGUCACUUCCAUUAUGAGCGCGCAUAACGCACGGCUACAUUUGAAUUAACGAACUGAUAAUAAUAACCGUUCCCCUUCAACCUACCACCUUGAUUCACGAGUCAGCGCUCACAGCUGUCACAGCCAAUGGGAGCAUGAUAUUAGGUUGUCUUAGCCAAUUGCUAGAGAGAAGGGCGGGUCUUCUGCAGAAAGUGAACUAGUCCGCAGUUAGUUUGUAGGCUACGCACGCUAUGGAGAAUGAAGUUUAUCAAAUCAGAAGAAAAUACAUCUGCUUUGGAGAAGAAAGGAAAAAACAAGUGGCGCUGGGCAUUGCUUGAAGAAAGAGGACAAGACACGAAUCUGUCAGAAGAAAUUCAACUACUGUUCGUGCACCAGAUGGUGAAGUAGAAAAGUUCGUAAAAACUUCUGCAGCUUGCAUCUGACAGAGAUGCAAAAAGAAGAAGAGAGCGGGCCUGAAAACAAGCAAAUUCAAGUCUUCUUUUAGGGUACACUUGAGGAGUGUCCAGAUGUUUA